GGAUAUAGCGUAGUUGGCUAACGCGCCAGAUUGUGGCUCUGGAGACCAUGGGUUCAAGUCCCAUUAUU
rnacentral:tRNA from 1 species